CUGACAAAAAAAAAUAAAAAAUUAAACAUCCACAACAACAAACAUCCACAACAACAAAAACACACUCAUUAACAUUAAUCUAGGACAUGCAAGAGAAUGUCGGUAUGUAUACGACAUGUACAGGAAAUUCCAUCUACCUGAUGCACUGAUGCACAACUGUUACAGGACAGGAAGUAGAAAUGUCAUGUACACAAAGGAAAUGAACACACAAAGGAAAUGUCACUUGUUGGGUAAGGAAAUGUGCCAAUGAACAUGUAGGUAAAAUUUCAAUUUCAGGAAAUUCGUGAUUUGGCCCAGUGCUUGUAGCUAGGCCGUGGCUUCCUGUCUCAAGUGUAGGCUACCUGCACCACCCAAGUGGCCCCCCUAUAACCUUUUCCCUAUUCCCAGUCCAUGACAUGAACGUCAUGUAAACAUAAUUAUACCAGGCUUUGCCUGUACAGACACCAGAAAUGAAUGAUUUCCAAAAUAUUUACUGCCAGGAAAUGUUAUUGGAAAAGAUUCAAUAUGCAUUAUUGUUUCCAGAAUAGUAUAGUUGGAAUCCUGACAUUUGUACAUAAACAUGUUUGUUUCAGUGAACUCCAUAAACUCACUGUCCUCUCACUGCCAUAGGCAUCGAUAUUCUCACUCUCUAGCUUCUCCCUGAGGUUGUACUACGAAGAUCUUGUAGUCACUUUCGAACUGUACCUCGAAGCAAAAUAUUAAAAAUACCAUGUGGAAGAGCAGCUCAAUGCGCAUGUGCUGGUACCUGCAGCGUGCGCAUAGCUCCAACACAGCGUGCACAAUGAUUUUUUGAAAUUUACUAUAGUCGGCUAAAGUUUAUCUAAUGAAAACUGAGUCCUAGGCCGGCCCAAGAUGAGCAGAUAUCCAAGAUGAGCAGAUAAUUUCUUUCCAGAAGAGCACAUGUCCAGAUCACGUGAGGUAGUUUAUUCUAUGUUGAAGCACCAUAAAAUUAAUUAUUAUUAAUUUUGUGGUGCUAGCAUGCAAUGGGAAGAACAAAAUUCAAAUUUCAAACUGCCAAACAUUAAGCUUAAAUGUAACUGACAUGCUAGCCUCGAUUCCUCAAUAGCCUCGAUUCCUCAAUUGAGACUGUCUGCGCAUGCGUCAGUUGCCCCAAGAACCUUGGGGAUCGAGAUAUCUUAGUCAGUAUAUUCAAUCGGGUGAUGUUGAGAAAGAAUUGUCUUUCAUAGUUAAUGAUCUUGCUACUAAUUCUGUCUCUGCAAAUCGUGUUAUUGUGUACUGCCGCUCACUGAACAUGUGCUCAAUUCUGUAUGCUCACUUCCUUCACACUCUCAAAGACAAGAGCUAUCAUCCUUUUGGUGUCGAGCAGAUCAGUAACAAUCGAUUGUUUGGAAUGUACCACUCGAGAACUGAUGAGCACAACAAAGAAGUUAUUAUGCAGAGUAUGGGCAAGUACGGUACGUGCCCUUGGUAUGGGAGUGAAUUUUGUCGGCUUAUGUACCACUAUCCAUUAUGGAGCACCCUGUUCACUUGACGACUACUUCCAGGAAAGUGGUAGAGCAGGAAGAAAUGGUGAGGCCUCCACUUCCACCAUAUACUGGAUGCCGAUAGAUGCUCCACGUAGUAGUCAGACAAUCCCAGACCACCGUCAAGUCGAGGCUACUGCAGUCAGUUCCACCUGCUGGAGCUGUUGCAGUAUUUUGUGGCAAAGAACCUGGUAGGGAAAGUUGUUGUGAUAAUUGUCGAACGUUGGUGUCAAAGUAGUGUGAUCGAAGCCCAUCCAAGGGACUCGUCGCCAGAGUGUGUAUCCCAUCUGAAGGCUCGUCGCCAGAGUGUGUAUCCCAUCCGAGUGAGGUCGAAAUUGUCUCUGUUGAUCAACAGUCAAAGUUACUGUGAUGACGAUGCGGAAUGAUCUGGAGGCAUUUGGAUUCCAUCACUACCUUGACAACCGUGUUUACAUUGGAUUUGCG